rnacentral:rRNA from 1 species
UUGAGAGUUUGAUCCUGGCUCAGAACGAACGCUGGCGGCAGGCUUAACACAUGCAAGUCGAGCGGAAACGAUGGGAGCUUGCUCCCAGGCGUCGAGCGGCGGACGGGUGAGUAACGCGUAGGAAUCUACCCAGUAGUGGGGGAUAGCCCGGGGAAACUCGG